AUUGAACGCUGGCGGCAUGCUUUACACAUGCAAGUCGAACGGUAACAGGCCUUCGGUUGCUGACGAGUGGCGAACGGGUGCGUAAUGCAUCGGAACGUGCCCAGAGGUGGGGGAUCACGCAGCGCAAGCUGUGCUAAUACCGCAUGUGAUCUGAUGAUGAAAGCGGGGGACCACGCAUCAAUGUUUCGCCUCGCGCCUUUCGAGCGGCCGGUGUCAGCUUAGGUAGUUGGUGGGGUAAAGGCCUACCAAGCCGACGAUCUGUAGCUGGUCUGAGAGGACGACCAGCCACACUGGGACUGAGAAACGGCCCAGACUCCUACGGGAGGCAGCAGUGGGGAAUUUUGGACAAUGGGCGCAAGCCUGAUCCAGCAAUGCCGCGUGAGGGAAGAAGGCCUUCGGGUUGUAAACCGCUUUUGUACGGAACGAAAAGGCGCUGGAUAAAACCUGCAGCUGAUGACGGUACCGAAAGAAUAAGCACCGGCUAACUACGUG
rnacentral:rRNA from 1 species